rnacentral:lncRNA from 1 species
CCUCUCACAACACGCUGUAGCGGGAAAUUCAUGAUCAUCAAGCUAUUGACAAGCUAGAGAUCAAAUAACAAGAGUCGCCACCGCGCUAUUAUUGUUUCCAAGGGAAAAGGGAAAAGUACGAACAAAACCCAAUUAGUAAGAAGUUUUCAAAUAAAAACUAAUAAAAGUCAGAGAUCACAGGUAAGGGGGUUGGUUACACAGAGGGAAGGUGUUAGCACCCAAAGUGUCCUAGGUACUCAAAAAGUACGAACAAAACCCAAUUAGUAAGAAGUUUUCAAAUAAAAACUAAUAAAAGUCAGAGAUCACAGGUAAGGGGGUUGGUUACACAGAGGGAAGGUGUUAGCACCCAAAGUGUC